UGGAUAACCUGCCCAGAGGUGGGGGAUAACCCGGGGAAACUCGGGCUAAUACCGCAUAUGACCGUGAGGUCAAAGGCGGCUCGCAAGAGCUGUCGCCAUUGGAGGGGUCCGCGUCCGAUUAGCUAGUUGGUAGGGUAAUGGCCUACCAAGGCGACGAUCGGUAGCCGGCCUGAGAGGGUGAUCGGCCACACUGGAACUGAGACACGGCCCAGACUCCUACGGGAGGCAG
rnacentral:rRNA from 1 species